GACGAACCGUCCUAACGUUGUUCGGAUUCACUGGGCUUAAAGGGCGCGUAGGCGGACUGGUAAGUCCGGGGUGAAAUCUUUCGGCUCAACCGGAAAAGUGCCUUGGAAACUGCCAGUCUCGAGGGGGGUAGGGGCCUGUGGAACUUCGGGUGGAGCGGUGAAAUGCGUUGAUAUCCGAAGGAACGCCGGUGGCGAAAGCGACGGGCUGGACUCCUUCUGACGCUGAGGCGCGAAAGCCAGGGGAGCAAACGGG
rnacentral:rRNA from 1 species